rnacentral:lncRNA from 1 species
GUUGGGUAACACAAAUCUCUCUACUACACUGUGAUUAUAAAAUACUCAGAAGCAGGCUGUGUCUGAAUUGCCUUCCGCUGUACCCAAACUACAAAUAAACUCUCUCAUGACAACAACAGGUGUUUCUACUUUUAAAGAGCCAAUGAACAUCCAGAUUGGCACGUGGGUUUUUCUGUUGCUCAUUAGAAAAAAGUAGCUUUCAGUCUUGGAUGUGUUUCCUAACCAAUUCCGUGUUUGUUUAAUGAUGGUUGUCCUCCAUGAGACACUGUAGCUUAUUUCACUUCCUCAAAAUCCCCAGAAUGAAUCUAAGAUAACUCAAGAAAUCUGUAAUUAAUUUUGACGUUUUUCCGAAGAGGUUUUAGUUACACAAUUGUACAUCUAACUAAGGUGUUUGGUGCAGUAUUUCGCAACAAUGUCAGAGCUGCUAGGCAGGUCUUUCUCACUGUCUAUAGAUGGGUUAACUGACAACUUCACGAAGAUGAUGUGCACGCUUCAAUGGGGCAGAAGUCCUUGUUUUGUUGUUCUGGACGGCCAGAUAGCUACCAACAAUGACAAGAAACUGCCAUGUGGGGAAUCUUGAGCACGUGACGGUUUUGUUGCUAAACAACCAACCCAUCUAUGCUUUUGGAUAAAGAGCAAUCACCGCAGCUGUUGGGGUGAACAAUCUACACACAAUACCCCAUAAUGACAAAGUGAAAAUAGUUUUUUUCCCCAGAUCUGUGCCUCGACACAAUCCUGAGCUCAAUUUCGAGUCUCAUAGCAAAGGGUCAGAAUACUUAUGUAAAUAAGGUAUUUCUGUUUGUUAUUUGUAAUAAAUGUGUUAAACAUUUCUAAAAACCUGUUUUGUGUGUAGAUUGAUGGGGGAAAACAUUUAUUUAAUACAUUUUAGAAUAAGGCUGUAAUGUAACAGAAUGUGGACAAAGUCAGGGGGUCUGAAUACUUUUCGAAUGCACUGUUCACAUAGUUAUCAUCAGAGUUAUCUUCAGUGAACGUUUCAGAUACAGUAGAUGCCAGACAUGGAUACUAUAGUAUUACUAUAUCACAGUCAAUAGUCAGUCCUCUGAAUACUGUAACAGAGAGACACACUUUGGCCACUCAGAGGUGGGAAGGGCCGACUAGUACUUUGGCAUUGUCUUUUCCUUGUGUUCCUGGACUAUUUGUCAUGCAGCUCCAGGUGUCAGAGAGCACAUAAAUUAGGGCUGAGCCUUCAAAUCCCCCCUGGACAGAAGCUGUACAUGGACAGCCUGUGUCCAAUAUAGGAAAAAAACGGCCCCCACCACAUGAGAGUUCCUUCUUGAGUCUUCAGUCCAGUUUAUGGAACCCAACUUAUAGUCCUUGGCCCAUCAGGUGUGUCUUCCGUGGGAUCGUUGACAAUGUGCUUUUGACAUCCAAAUGCCCCUAGGUACACAUUUCUUCAACCAAGCUCAAUAAAACAUAAUUCUUUGUUAAUUAACGGCAGAAAGAUUACAUCAGUUCAAUCAGUUCUCAACAUUCGAUGAAACAUUAUUACAGUCAAGAUUUACUAGUCACAGUGUGGCUUCGUAACACUAAACAAUACAUUAAUUGCACUCAAAUGGUGCCCACAAACUGUUAGUGCCUACAUAAAGCUGUCCCAACAGCAGAGCUUUCUUUUCAGCACCAUGGAGUGAAUCCUUACCACCACCACACCUGGCUAUCAGUGGAGCCUUGUCUGGCAGCGAAACAGUUCAUUCAGCCUCAUUAAUGACAUGGGACUAGGACAACCCGGCCAGCCAAACCCUUCCCUAACCUGGACGACACUGGGCCAAUUUGUUUGCCAUCUCAUGGGUCUCUCGGUUGCGGCCGGCUGCGACACAGCCUGGGAUCGAACCAGGAUCCGUAGUGACACAGCUAGCACUGCGAAGCAAUGCAUAAGACCUCUGUGCCACUCGGGAGGCCCCCUGAUUUCCUUAUAUGAACUGAAACUCAGUAAAAUUGUUGAAAUUCUU